GGGUUGUGAGGUUAAGCGACUAAGCGUACACGGUGGAUGCCCUGGCAGUCAGAGGCGAUGAAGGACGUGCUAAUCUGCGAUAAGCGUCGGUGAGGUGAUAUGAACCGUUAUAACCGGCGAUUUCCGAAUGGGGAAACCCAGUGUGUUUCGACACACUAUCAUUAACUGAAUCCAUAGGUUAAUGAGGCGAACCGGGGGAACUGAAACAUCUAAGUACCCCGAGGAAAAGAAAAAAGAACCUGAAACCGUGUACGUACAAGCAGUGGGAGCCUCUUUAUGGGGUGACUGCGUACCUUUUGUAUAAUGGGUCAGCGACUUAUAUUCUGUAGCAAGGUUAACCGAAUAGGGGAGCCGAAGGGAAACCGAGUCUUAACUGGGCGUUAAGUUGCAGGGUAUAGACCCGAAACCCGGUGAUCUAGCCAUGGGCAGGUUGAAGGUUGGGUAACACUAACUGGAGGACCGAACCGACUAAUGUUGAAAAAUUAGCGGAUGACUUGUGGCUGGGGGUGAAAGGCCAAUCAAACCGGGAGAUAGCUGGUUCUCCCCGAAAGCUAUUUAGGUAGCGCCUCGUGAAUUCAUCUCCGGGGGUAGAGCACUGUUUCGGCAAGGGGGUCAUCCCGACUUACCAACCCGAUGCAAACUGCGAAUACCGGAGAAUGUUAUCACGGGAGACACACGGCGGGUGCUAACGUCCGUCGUGAAGAGGGAAACAACCCAGACCGCCAGCUAAGGUCCCAAAGUCAUGGUUAAGUGGGAAACGAUGUGGGAAGGCCCAGACAGCCAGGAUGUUGGCUUAGAAGCAGCCAUCAUUUAAAGAAAGCGUAAUAGCUCACUGGUCGAGUCGGCCUGCGCGGAAGAUGUAACGGGGCUAAACCAUGCACCGAAGCUGCGGCAGCGACACUAUGUGUUGUUGGGUAGGGGAGCGUUCUGUAAGCCUGUGAAGGUGGCCUGUGAGGGUUGCUGGAGGUAUCAGAAGUGCGAAUGCUGACAUAAGUAACGAUAAAGCGGGUGAAAAGCCCGCUCGCCGGAAGACCAAGGGUUCCUGUCCAACGUUAAUCGGGGCAGGGUGAGUCGACCCCUAAGGCGAGGCCGAAAGGCGUAGUCGAUGGGAAACAGGUUAAUAUUCCUGUACUUGGUGUUACUGCGAAGGGGGGACGGAGAAGGCUAUGUUGGCCGGGCGACGGUUGUCCCGGUUUAAGCGUGUAGGCUGGUUUUCCAGGCAAAUCCGGAAAACCAAGGCUGAGGCGUGAUGACGAGGCACUACGGUGCUGAAGCGACAAAUGCCCUGCUUCCAGGAAAAGCCUCUAAGCAUCAGGUAACAUCAAAUCGUACCCCAAACCGACACAGGUGGUCAGGUAGAGAAUACCAAGGCGCUUGAGAGAACUCGGGUGAAGGAACUAGGCAAAAUGGUGCCGUAACUUCGGGAGAAGGCACGCUGAUAUGUAGGUGAAGCGACUUGCUCGUGGAGCUGAAAUCAGUCGAAGAUACCAGCUGGCUGCAACUGUUUAUUAAAAACACAGCACUGUGCAAACACGAAAGUGGACGUAUACGGUGUGACGCCUGCCCGGUGCCGGAAGGUUAAUUGAUGGGGUUAGCGGUAACGCGAAGCUCUUGAUCGAAGCCCCGGUAAACGGCGGCCGUAACUAUAACGGUCCUAAGGUAGCGAAAUUCCUUGUCGGGUAAGUUCCGACCUGCACGAAUGGCGUAAUGAUGGCCAGGCUGUCUCCACCCGAGACUCAGUGAAAUUGAACUCGCUGUGAAGAUGCAGUGUACCCGCGGCAAGACGGAAAGACCCCGUGAACCUUUACUAUAGCUUGACACUGAACAUUGAGCCUUGAUGUGUAGGAUAGGUGGGAGGCUUUGAAGUGUGGACGCCAGUCUGCAUGGAGCCGACCUUGAAAUACCACCCUUUAAUGUUUGAUGUUCUAACGUUGGCCCGUAAUCCGGGUUGCGGACAGUGUCUGGUGGGUAGUUUGACUGGGGCGGUCUCCUCCUAAAGAGUAACGGAGGAGCACGAAGGUUGGCUAAUCCUGGUCGGACAUCAGGAGGUUAGUGCAAUGGCAUAAGCCAGCUUGACUGCGAGCGUGACGGCGCGAGCAGGUGCGAAAGCAGGUCAUAGUGAUCCGGUGGUUCUGAAUGGAAGGGCCAUCGCUCAACGGAUAAAAGGUACUCCGGGGAUAACAGGCUGAUACCGCCCAAGAGUUCAUAUCGACGGCGGUGUUUGGCACCUCGAUGUCGGCUCAUCACAUCCUGGGGCUGAAGUAGGUCCCAAGGGUAUGGCUGUUCGCCAUUUAAAGUGGUACGCGAGCUGGGUUUAGAACGUCGUGAGACAGUUCGGUCCCUAUCUGCCGUGGGCGCUGGAGAACUGAGGGGGGCUGCUCCUAGUACGAGAGGACCGGAGUGGACGCAUCACUGGUGUUCGGGUUGUCAUGCCAAUGGCACUGCCCGGUAGCUAAAUGCGGAAGAGAUAAGUGCUGAAAGCAUCUAAGCACGAAACUUGCCCCGAGAUGAGUUCUCCCUGAGACUUAGAGUCUCCUGAAGGAACGUUGAAGACGACGACGUUGAUAGGCCGGGUGUGUAAGCGCAGCGAUGCGUUGAGCUAACCGGUACUAAUGAACCGUGAGGCUUAACCUUACAACGCCGAAG
rnacentral:rRNA from 1 species